rnacentral:snoRNA from 1 species
GGAGGUUGCGAUGAGGAUAACAAGCUCCCUCUUCUGAAAUCAAGUUGAGGUCAAACGCUGGCAGAAUCGAACCAAUUAAUCAUAAGCCACCACUGAGUAA